GACAGAGGGUGCUAGCGUUGUUCGGAAUUACUGGGCGUAAAGGGCGCGUAGGCGGCUCGUUUAGUCGGGUGUGAAAUCCCGGGGCUCAACCCCGGAACUGCAUUCGAUACUGGCGGGCUAGAGACCGGAAGAGGUGGGUGGAAUACCCAGUGUAGAGGUGAAAUUCGUAGAUAUUGGGUGGGACACCGGUGGCGAAGGCGGCUCACUGGUCCGGUUCUGACGCUGAGGCGCGAAAGCGUGGGGAGCAAACAGG
rnacentral:rRNA from 1 species